AACUUUUAACAACGGAUCUCUUGGCUCUCGCAUCGAUGAAGAAANCAGCGAAAUGCGAUAAGUAAUGUGAAUUGCAGAAUUCAGUGAAUCAUCGAAUCUUUGAACGCACCUUGCGCUCUCUGGUAUUCCGGGGAGCACACCUGUUCGAGUGUCAUU
rnacentral:rRNA from 1 species